UGCAGCAAUAACUAACACUGGGUUUUAACUCGAGAACGCUCUAGGUUCCUUUCUGCUCCAAUAGCAUUAUGUAACUCAUGCUAAGCCUCUCCUAAAGCUGCUACCACAGGAGCAGUGAAAAAGCCCAAGUACCAAAUUAGCCAGAGAUUUCUUAUAAGUUGACAGCUUUCUCAAGCCACAAAAUGCUUCGGGUACAGGUUUCCCUUCAGGAAAGUCAGACUCAUAUCCUUGGAAGGAAUUAAAAUGUUUGUCAAGCAGGCUCCUCCUCAUAAAAAAUGCCCGUCCCGACAUUUUCCAAGUCCUGCAGGGUCAGAAAUGAGGAGGCGGAAAGAGUCGAGAAAUCAGAGGUUUCCCAGCAAGGUCAAAGCAAGUGCCCUGACCCAGACAAUGGAGCUUGCUGUGGAGCUGUGGGUCCUGGAGACCCAGGCUUCAGCCCUGACUUCGACACUUUCCUCAGUGCCCACCUUUCAUCUGGAUGAUGCAGAGAAAGUCAACUAAAGCAGAUGCUGGCUGAGUCACAGCGUGAUGAAGCAUUGCUAACCCAAGACGUGAAUCGAGAGCACGUGGGGGAUACUGCUUUUAUGCUGAACUAGGAAGACAGCAGCCGCCAUCAAAGCCAGAAUCGAACAUAAAAUUUAACAAUCAAACACGACAAAAACAGUUUAAAAAUGGAUUUGUACUUUGUUUAUCAUCUGUUCCCCCAUGUUAGAAUGUUAGCUCUAUGAGAACAGAGCUUUCACUUCUGCUUCCUCUCCACUGUGUCUUCAGGACAACAAACACUGCC
rnacentral:lncRNA from 1 species